CUACGGGUCGCACCAGUGGGGAAUAUUGGACAAUGGGGGAAACCCUGAUCCAGCAAUGCCGCGUGUGUGAAGAAGGCCUGCGGGUUGUAAAGCACUUUCGGUUGGGAGGACUGCUUCUAGCACUAAUAUUGUUGGAAGUUGACGUUACCUUCAGAAGAAGCACCGGCUAACUCCGUGCCAGCAGCCGCGGUAAUACGGAGGGUGCAAGCGUGAAUCGGAAUUACUGGGCGUAAAGCGCGCGUAGGCGGCUAGAUCAGUCGGGUGUGAAAGCCCCGGGCUUAACCUGGGAACUGCAUCCGAUACUGUCUAGCUUGAGUACAGGGGAGGAGAGUGGAAUUCCACAUGUAGCGGUGAAAUGCGUAGAUAUGUGGAGGAACACCAAUGGCGAAGGCAGCUCUCUGGCCUGAUACUGACGCUGAGGUGCGAAAGCGUGGGGAGCAAACAGGAUUAGAUACCCUUGUAGUC
rnacentral:rRNA from 1 species